AAACUUUACAAUGCGGGAAACCGCGAUAAGGGGACACUGAGUGCCAGCAUAUUAUGUUGGCUGUCCACAUGUAUAAAAACCAUGUGUUAGCAAGGGCCGGGCAAGACCGGUGCCAGCCGCCGCGGUAACACCGGCGGCCCGAGUGGUGAUCACUUUUAUUGGGUCUAAAGGGUCCGUAGCCGGUUUGAUCAGUCUUCUGGGAAAUCUGACAGCUCAACUGUUAGGCUUUCAGGGGAUACUGUUAGACUUGGGACCGGGAGAGGUAAGAGGUACUACAGGGGUAGGAGUGAAAUCUUGUAAUCCCUGUGGGACCACCAGUGGCGAAGGCGUCUUACCAGAACGGGUCCGACGGUGAGGGACGAAAGCUGGGGGCACGAACCGGAUUAGAUACCCGGGUAGUCCCAGCCGUAAACGAUGCUCGCUAGGUGUCAGGGACGGUGCGACCGUUUCUGGUGCCGUAGGAAGCCGUGAAGCGAGCCACCUGGAAGUACGACCGCAAGGC
rnacentral:rRNA from 1 species